UGAGUUGGCCAAAAAGUUAGUUUGGGUUUUUCCAUACAACGUUAUGGAAAACCCAAACAAAUGUUUCGGUCAACCCAAU
rnacentral:miRNA from 1 species